AUUGAACGCUAGCGGGAGGCCUUACACAUGCAAGUCGAACGAGUGGCGGACGGGUGAGUAAUGUAUCGGAAAGUGCCCAGUAGCGGGGGAUAACUACUGGAAACAGUGGCUAAUACCGCAUACCAUCGGAUGGGCCCAUAUGGGAUUAGCUAGUUGGUGGGGUACAGGCUCACAUAGGCCACGAUCCGUAGCUGGUCUGAGAGGAUGACCAGCCACACUGGGACUGAGACACGGCCCAGACUCCUACGGGAGGCAGCAGUGGGGAAUUUUGGACAAUGGGGGAAACCCUGAUGCAGCCAUCCCGCGUGUAUGAGAAGGCCUUCGGGUUGUAAAGUACUUUUGGCAGGGAAGCGGUAUCUGCAGAAGAAGCACCGGCUAACUCCGUGCCAGCCGCCGCGGUAAUUC
rnacentral:rRNA from 1 species